AACGAACGCUGGCGGCAUGCCUAACACAUGCAAGUCGAACGAGACCUUCGGGUCUAGUGGCGCACGGGUGCGUAACGCGUGGGAACCUGCCCUUAGGUUCGGAAUAACUCCCCGAAAGGGGUGCUAAUACCGGAUAAUGUCUUCGGACCAAAGAUUUAUCGCCUUUGGAUGGGCCCGCGUUGGAUUAGCUAGUUGGUAGGGGAAAAGCCUACCAAGGCGACGAUCCAUAGCUGGUCUGAGAGGAUGAUCAGCCACACUGGGACUGAGACACGGCCCAGACUCCUACGGGAGGCAGCAGUGGGGAAUAUUGGACAAUGGGCGAAAGCCUGAUCCAGCAAUGCCGAGUGAGUGAUGAAGGCCUUAGGGUUGUAAAGCUCUUUUACCCGGGAUGAUAAUGACAGUACCGGGAGAAUAAGCCCCGGCUAACUCCGUG
rnacentral:rRNA from 1 species